AAUAAACGCAGCCGCGGGUUUCAGUGUCCAACUUUAACCAUUCAUCUUAUUUAAAAUAAUUUUAUGAUUAUUAUUUUUGUGUUUUAUUGGAUGAUAAAAUAUGAAUAGUACUUUAUAAGUGACUUAACUUUUAAAAUUUUUUAAAUAAGACGACGGUCAAACGUUGAGCAUGAAAACUUAUAGGUGCACUUAAU
rfam:Oryza glumipatula chromosome 4, whole genome shotgun sequence.